UUAUCAAGCGCUCUCCGUCUUUGAACACUCGCGCUCCGACAACGUCGACAAUCUUCAUCCUCUCAGAGAGCUUCGAGGAGAGAAAAUGAAGCUUGAGCACACACAGACAACGGUUGUUGAUACGAACCUCAAGAGACUUCAAAAGAGGAACACACUCGAUGAAGGCUUCGUACGUCCUCCUCUUCUUCGCGUUAUUUCUAACAAUCAGUCUGUGAAAAGUGGCUCGAUCCUGAGCACCAAACGAGAACGUUUUUUUAAAAUUCAGUUCAAAUUCUCCUCCUUAUUCCCGACCGCGGUGCUCUGUGGGACUCACCAGGCCCCACAGGGCGCCCUCCUGCGUGGCGAUGAUUGUGGCGGCUCGCGGCGUAUUGUACAUGAGAGCCAGCUCACCGAAGCUGCCCUUAUUGUCGUACUUUCCAACGCACACGCUCACUCCGCCCUUCUGCACAAGAAUGUCGUACACACCUCUGGAAAGAAGGAGAGCGAGAGAGAGAAGUCAGUGUGAGACGGACAAAAAGUCAUUUAGUCACACGGCAACACUUAGAAAUCCGUCACUCACUUCUCUAUGACGUAGAAGUUGUCUCCAUCGGCUCCUUGGUCUAUGAUGUGCUCCUGAGGUUUGACCAACACCUCGAACAUGCCGUCCAAAACCUCAGAGAACUGCUCCUGAGAGCGAGGACAACGUUUUACAUUU